GAUGAACGCUGGCGGCGUGCCUAAUACAUGCAAGUCGAGCGAACAGACGAGGAGCUUGCUCCUCUGACGUUAGCGGCGGACGGGUGAGUAACACGUGGAUAACCUACCUAUAAGACUGGGAUAACUUCGGGAAACCGGGGCUAAUACCGGAUAAUAUAUUGAACCGCAUGGUUCAAUAGUGAAAGACGGUUUUGCUGUCACUUAUAGAUGGAUCCGCGCCGCAUUAGCUAGUUGGUAAGGUAACGGCUUACCAAGGCAACGAUGCGUAGCCGACCUGAGAGGGUGAUCGGCCACACUGGAACUGAGACACGGUCCAGACUCCUACGGGAGGCAGCAGUAGGGAAUCUUCCGCAAUGGGCGAAAGCCUGACGGAGCAACGCCGCGUGAGUGAUGAAGGUCUUCGGACCGUAAAACUCUGUUAUUAGGGAAGAACAAAUGUGUAAGUAACUAUGCACGUCUUGACGGUACCUAAUCAGAAAGCCACGGCUAACUACGUG
rnacentral:rRNA from 1 species